rnacentral:rRNA from 1 species
UUGCCGGUGAUUUAGCCGUAUGUGUACCACCCGAUCCCAUUCCGAACUCGGAAGUGAAAAUGUACGGUGCUGAUGAUAGUUUAGGCGAAAGUAGGUUUCGCCGGCAU